UACGGAGGAUGCAAGCGUUAUCCGGAAUGAUUGGGCGUAAAGCGUCCGCAGGUGGCAAUGUAAGUCUGCUGUCAAAGCGUCUGGCUCAACCAGAUAAAGGCAGUGGAAACUACAUAGCUAGAGUAAGGUAGGGGUAGAGGGAAUUCCUGGUGUAGCGGUGAAAUGCGUAGAGAUCAGGAAGAACACCGGUGGCGAAAGCGCUCUGCUGGACCUAAACUGACACUGAGGCACGAAGGUCAGGGGAGCAAACGGG
rnacentral:rRNA from 1 species